AACUAGAGUGAUGAAAAAGUGCCCUUAGGCGUGGUUGUGACCGUCUUGGUCGCAUUUGUGCCACUUGCCGAUGCAGGGAUCUGUCAUAGUUACACUGACUGGUA
ensembl:snoRNA